GCCAGCGUGGCAUAGUGGUUUGAGCACAAGACUUGAACUCUGAAGAUCAGGGUUCAGUUCUCAGCUUAGCCA